rnacentral:rRNA from 1 species
UACGUAGGGUGCAAGCGUUAAUCGGAAUUACUGGGCGUAAAGCGUGCGCAGGCGGUUGUGCAAGACAGAUGUGAAAUCCCCGGGCUCAACCUGGGAACUGCAUUUGUGACUGCACGGCUAGAGUGCGGCAGAGGGAGAUGGAAUUCCGCGUGUAGCAGUGAAAUGCGUAGAGAUGCGGAGGAACACCGAUGGCGAAGGCAGCCUCCUGGGAUAACACUGACGCUCAGGCACGAAAGCGUGGGGAGCAAACAGG